rnacentral:lncRNA from 1 species
AUAAUGAUGAUGUCAAAGCUUGUACAGUGUGUACUGUUGUUUGGGAGAUACAGUACCGCUUCAUGUGGACGCACUCACGCUGACGCCUA